rnacentral:rRNA from 1 species
UACGUAGGGUGCAAGCGUUGUCCGGAAUUAUUGGGCGUAAAGAGCUCGUAGGCGGUUUGUCGCGUCUGCUGUGAAAACGCGAGGCUCAACCUCGCGCCUGCAGUGGGUACGGGCAGACUAGAGUGCGGUAGGGGAGACUGGAAUUCCUGGUGUAGCGGUGAAAUGCGCAGAUAUCAGGAGGAACACCGGUGGCGAAGGCGGGUCUCUGGGCCGUAACUGACGCUGGAGGAGCGAAAGCGUGGGGAGCGAACAGG